ACCACAAGUGUGUGUCGAACUUUUCAUGACCUGAUGACUGUGUUUCCCAAUCCUGAUCCUGGAGAACCCCAGCACUGCACGGUUUUGGUGUCUCUCUUAUCUGCCUUGGAGUCUUCACUGAUGAGCUGAUGAGUUGAAUCAGGUCUAAAAUAUCAAGCUCAACAACUCACUCAAGAGCCAACCCUCACAAACCUUCCUAAAAACUAAAAGAGCUAUUACUGAGUCUCAGCGAAUCUUGCCACAAUCAGCUCUUCCCAGAAGAGAAGGAAGACCAAGGAAAUGAUUUGCUCAGGAUGAGGAAUGAAGAUGGCCAUCUUGUGCUCAAACAAACAGAAGUCCACUGGU